AAGGAAGAGGAGGAGGAGGAAGAGGAAGAGGAAUAAGAAGAAGAAAAAGAAAGAAAGAGAGAGAAAAAGAGUCCCAAGAAUGAGGGGGCAGGAGGUUGAAGGAAGAGAAGAAGCCAUAACAGGCCACUGCAGCCCAAUGCAUGUGACAAUUUGGGCAAAGUGAACCCCUGCUUUGGAACGUAUUCUUUGAAGACAGCUCUCGGCAUUGAUAUAAACGUACAGAACGGCGGGCAAGUUGCAGUUCUGCGCAUGCGCAGUAUUGCCCUCCUCGAUGGUGCCUGGGCACACAGCAAUGGCCUGCAACCGUGAUGCUCGAUUUCUGCGGGGGCUGUAUAAACCGCCGUUCUGCUUUCACAUGAAACAGUAACUUGAAAACAACAUCUGAUUCUUGAGAACAUAAAAACAAAACUCCAUGGCUACUUUCAGUGGUGCAAAAGGUUGGACUCCUCCUCCAAGUACCUGACUUUGCUCAUUUGUUUUCUAAAUACUCAGAAAUGUCGCUUUACGUCCCACUGGUUUACCUCUGAGUAGAGACACCCAGAUCAAACACCCAAGGUCCACCAGCAUUUGAAAAAGUGUUUGUCUGGAACUUCAUUUUUUUUUUUUUUUUUUGCCUUUAUGACCUAAAAACUCAUCCCGGCCGCUCCUUGGAUACAUUCAUAGGCUGGUCUUGACCCUCACAGAGAGGGACCACCAGGGGAUGGGAUCAUAUGUGUCCACUGGUUCUCCACACUGGCUAUCAGUUACCUCUCCUUUCCUUAGACAUUUGCCUCCUUCUGAUUCCUACCACAUUCAGGGGUUAUUACUUCCUAAAUUGAUUUUUUUCUUUUUACUGAUCCCCAGUAGUUAAAGCCCUAGCAAUGUCUGUUCAUUCCCUUCCGUUUUUAUAUAAUGAUUCCACUGUAGAUAGUAGCAAUUUAAAACAGAAAUAAAACUCACUCCCCUGUUUUCACUGUAA